GUCCACGCCGUAAACGAUGAGUGCUAGGUGUCACGGGCUUUUACCCUCGUGGUGCCGAAGCUAACGCGUUAAGCACUCCGCCUGGGGAGUACGGUCGCAAGACUAAAACUCAAAGGAAUUGACUGGGGCCCCGCACAAGCGGUGGAGCAUGUUGUUUAAUUCGACGCAACGCGAAGAACCUUACCUGGGCUAGAAAGUACAGGAAGUCGGUCGAAAGGUCGAUGUGCCCUUCGGGGAACCUGUGGUUAGGUGCUGCAUGGCUGUCGU
rnacentral:rRNA from 1 species